rnacentral:rRNA from 1 species
GAUCAUGGCUCAGAUUGAACGCUGGCGGCAGGCCUAACACAUGCAAGUCGAGCGGCAGCGCGUCCGACCACCCUCGGGUGGUCGGAUGGCGGCGAGCGGCGGACGGGUGAGGAAUGCAUCGGAAUCUGCCUCGUUGUGGGGGAUAACGUAGGGAAACUUACGCUAAUACCGCAUACGACCUACGGGUGAAAGUGGGGGACCUUCGGGCCUCACGCGAUGAGAUGAGCCGAUGCCGGAUUAGCUAGUUGGCGGGGUAAAGGCCCACCAAGGCGACGAUCCGUAGCUGGUCUGAGAGGAUGAUCAGCCACACUGGAACUGAGACACGGUCCAGACUCCUACGGGAGGCAGCAGUGGGGAAUAUUGGACAAUGGGGGCAACCCUGAUCCAGCCAUGCCGCGUGUGUGAAGAAGGCCUUCGGGUUGUAAAGCACUUUUGUUGGGGAAGAAACCGGCCGGGUUAAUACCCUGGUUGAAUGACGGUACCCAAAGAAUAAGCACCGGCUAACUUCGUG